rnacentral:rRNA from 1 species
UUUGGAAACAGCUGCUAAUACCGGAUACGAGACGGAGAGGCAUCUCUACCGUCUGGAAAGUUUUUCGGUCUGGGAUGGACUCGCGGCCUAUCAGCUUGUUGGUGAGGUAAUGGCUCACCAAGGCGACGACGGGUAGCCGGCCUGAGAGGGCGACCGGCCACACUGGGACUGAGACACGGCCCAGACUCCUACGGGAGGCAGCAGUGGGGAAUAUUGCACAAUGGGCGAAAGCCUGAUGCAGCAACGCCGCGUGAGGGAUGACGGCCUUCGGGUUGUAAACCUCUUUCAGUAGGGAAGAAGCGAAAGUGACGGUACCUACAGAAGAAGCACCGGCUAACUACGUGCCAGCAGCCGCGGUAAUACGUAGGGUGCGAGCGUUGUCCGGAAUUAUUGGGCGUAA